rnacentral:rRNA from 1 species
GACGAACGCUGGCGGCGUGCCUAAUACAUGCAAGUAGAACGCACAGUUUAUACCGUAGCUUGCUACACCAUAGACUGUGAGUUGCGAACGGGUGAGUAACGCGUAGGUAACCUGCCUGGUAGCGGGGGAUAACUAUUGGAAACGAUAGCUAAUACCGCAUAAUAUUAAUUAUUGCAUGAUAAUUAAUUGAAAGGUGCAAUUGCACCACUACCAGAUGGACCUGCGUUGUAUUAGCUAGUAGGUGAGGUAACGGCUCACCUAGGCGACGCUACAUAGCCGACCUGAGAGGGUGAUCGGCCCCACUGGGACUGAGACACGGCCCAGACUCCUACGGGAGGCAGCAGUAGGGAAUCUUCGGCAAUGGGCGAAAGUCUGACCGAGAAAAGCCGCGUGAGUGAAGAAGGUUUUCGGAUCGUAAAGAUCUGUUGUAAGAGAAGAACGGGUGUGAGAGUGGAAAGUUCACACUGUGACGGUAUCUUAACAGAAAGGGACGGCUAACUACGUG